GACGAACGCUGGCGGCGUGCUUAACACAUGCAAGUCGAACGGAAAGGCCCUGCUUUUGUGGGGUGCUCGAGUGGCGAACGGGUGAUUAACACGUGAGUAACCUGCCCUUGACUUUGGGAUAACUUCAGGAAACUGGGGCUAAUACCGGAUAGGAGCUCCUGCUGCAUGUUGGGGGUUGGAAAGUUUCGGCGGUUGGGGAUGGACUCGCGGCUUAUCAGCUUGUUGGUGGGGUAGUGGCUUACCAAGGCUUUGACGGGUAGCCGGCCUGAGAGGGUGACCGGCCACAUUGGGACUGAGAUACGGCCCAGACUCCUACGGGAGGCAGCAGUGGGGAAUAUUGCACAAUGGGCGGAAGCCUGAUGCAGCAACGCCGCGUGCGGGAUGACGGCCUUCGGGUUGUAAACCGCUUUCGCCUGUGACGAAGCGUGAGUGACGGUAAUGGGUAAAGAAGCACCGGCUAACUACGUG
rnacentral:rRNA from 1 species